GACGAACCUUGCUAACGUUAUUCGGAAUUACUGGGCUUAAAGGGUUCGUAGGCGGUGCGGAAAGUCGGGUGUGAAAUCCCCCAGCUCAACUGGGGAAUUGCGCCUGAAACUACCGUGCUCGAGGAAGACAGAGGUACGCGGAACUUAGGGUGGAGCGGUGAAAUGCGUUGAUAUCCUAAGGAACACCGGUGGCGAAAGCGGCGUACUGGGUCUUAUCUGACGCUGAGGCACGAAAGCUAGGGUAGCGAACGGG
rnacentral:rRNA from 1 species